GCGGGGAUAGCUCAGUUGGGAGAGCGUCAGACUGAAGUUUCACUUCUGGUCCAAUACCUAGGUAUAUCUGAAGGUCGUGUGUUCAAUCCACACUCACCGCA